AUACGGAGGAUGCGAGCGUUAUCCGGAUUUAUUGGGUUUAAAGGGAGCGUAGGUGGGAUAUUAAGUCAGCUGUGAAAGUUUGGGGCUCAACCUUAAAAUUGCAGUUGAUACUGGUUUCCUUGAGUACGGUACAGGUGGGCGGAAUUCGUGGUGUAGCGGUGAAAUGCUUAGAUAUCACGAAGAACUCCGAUCGCGAAGGCAGCUCACCGGGCCGGAACUGACACUGAUGCUCGAAAGUGCGGGUAUCAAACAGGAUUAGAUACCCUGGUAGUCCGCACAGUAAACGAUGAAUACUCGCUGUUUGCGAUACACGGUAAGCGGCCAAGCGAAAGCGUUAAGUAAUCCACCUGGGGAGUACGCCGGCAACGGUGAAACUCAAAUGAAUUGACGGGG
rnacentral:rRNA from 1 species